rnacentral:rRNA from 1 species
UGGGCGGUUCGCCGCCCGCGACUCGGCGAGAAGUCCAUUGAACCUUAUCAUUUAGAGGAAGGAGAAGUCGUAACAAGGUUUCCGUAGGUGAACCUGCGGAAGGAUCAUUG